UACGUAGGUCCCGAGCGUUGUCCGGAUUUAUUGGGCGUAAAGCGAGCGCAGGUGGUUUAUUAAGUCUGGUGUAAAAGGCAGUGGCUCAACCAUUGUAUGCAUUGGAAACUGGUAGACUUGAGUGCAGGAGAGGAGAGUGGAAUUCCAUGUGUAGCGGUGAAAUGCGUAGAUAUAUGGAGGAAUACCAGUGGCGAAAGCGGCUCUCUGGCCUGUAACUGACACUGAGGCUCGAAAGCGUGGGGAGCAAACAGG
rnacentral:rRNA from 1 species